UCAAAAUUAUUUCAGAAAAAUCUUAAAAAAUGCCUCUUUUUUUUACCUAUAGUCAAAAUAAAAGACACGUGCAAUAAAAAGAAACGUAAUAGGCUCAAACUAGAUGACACACACACCCCCUUCCUCUCCAUCUGAGCAUAUCAAUAUGCUGUCAAUGAUCUACUCUCUGUUUCACUACAUGACAGGAACUGUAUCUAGGUUAUGUGUAGCAGGGUGAGGAAGUGUCACUCUGUGUUAUCCAGACUAAGGCACUGGAGGCGGCACGAGGAGCAGAACGACCCCCAGGGAGCUGGUUGUUUGCCAGGUAACCCAGGUGACACCCGAGCAUCAGAGAAAAGGGCCGUGUGGCAGUUUGACCGCAGCAGGGAGGAAGGACCAGAUGAAGCCCAGCGUGU